CUGUGAUUGGCUAUCAGGAUCCCACGACCCAAACCAAGAUUGGUUAGUGGGGUCUCCCAUCCUGCGCUGUGUGCUGUGAUUGGACACUGAGAUUCCGCGUCCUGCGCGUUCACUACAAAGCUGUGUGGCAGGACCUUGAUUGCAUCUCAUAGCCUCCUGCAAUGGUGUGUUGCCCCACCUGUCAGAUAUCAACACAACACCAGGUCAAAGUGUGCAAUUGGCUCCUGUGUUCUCCAUCAGAAACUUGAUGACCUCCAAGUGCCCUUCUGAGGCAGCCACAUGAAGUGCACACCUUCCGUCAUAAUCCACGGCAUUCACAUCUGCUCCAGAGAGGAAGUACCUGCCGAGGACAGCACCUGUCUGAAAGGAGUCCGGAUGUCAAAACUGUGCAGCUGGAAGGCAGACACUAGCUCCUGGAACCAAAUAAGGUGUUACCAGUGGUUACAACGAUCAUGGUAUGGAAAUCAGACC